rnacentral:sRNA from 1 species
GUGAAUCUCGUGAAGCUCGUAGUGCCAC